rnacentral:rRNA from 1 species
AUGAAGACUGUCAACACGGUGUUCGUGGGUCUUACUCUUUUGGUGCUAUCCUCAGGCAUGUUGAUGCAGGCUUCAGCCGAGCUCUGCAGUGACUCGAUAGUUUCGCCAAGUUGUGAUGGCAAUGGCGUCUCAUGUAAGGAGCUAUGCAAAAGGUUCAUUUACAUCGGCAAGGUCACUGCAACAUGCGUUCCCCAGGGGUGUAAGUGCACGGUCUGCAUACCACAUGAUUAA